rnacentral:rRNA from 1 species
AGUCGACGGGCCCUUUCGGGGGUCAGUGGCAGACGGGUGAGUAACACGUCGGUUCGUGCCCUUCAGUUCGGAAUAACCCAGGGAAACUUGGGCUAUGACCGGAUACGUCCGAGAGGAGAAAGAUUAAUCGCUGAAGGAUCGGCCCGCGUCUGAUUAGCUUGUUGGUGAGGUAAUGGCUCACCAAGGCGACGAUCAGUAGCUGGUCUGAGAGGAUGAUCAGCCACACUGGGACUGAGACACGGCCCAGACUCCUACGGGAGGCAGCAGUGGGGAAUCUUGCGCAAUGGGCGAAAGCCUGACGCAGCAACGCCGCGUGCGGGAUGAAGGCCCUCGGGUUGUAAACCGCUUUCAGCAGGGACGAAGAUGACGGUACCUGCAGAAGAAGCCCCGGCCAACUACGUGCCAGCAGCCGCGGUAACACGUAGGGGGCGAGCGUUGUCCGGAUUUAUUGGGCGUAAAGAGCUCGUAGGCGGUUCCGUCAGUCGGGUGUGAAAACUCUGGGCUCAACCCAGAGACGCCACCCGAUACUGCGGUGACUAGAGUCCGGUAGGGGAGUGCGGAAUUCCUGGUGUAGCGGUGAAAUGCGCAGAUAUCAGGAGGAACACCAACGGCGAAGGCAGCACUCUGGGCCGGUACUGACGCUGAGGAGCGAAAGCGUGGGGAGCGAACAGGAUUAGAUACCCUGGUAGUCCACGCCGUAAACGUUGGGCACUAGGUGUGGGACCUUUCCAACGGGUUCCGUGCCGCAGCUAACGCAUUAAGUGCCCCGCCUGGGGAGUACGGCCGCAAGGNCUNAAAACUCAAAGGAAUUGACGGGGGCCCGCACAAACGGCGGAGCAUGUUUCUUAAUUCGAGGCAACGCGAAGAACCUUACCUGGGUUUGACAUGUAGCGAAAAGCUGCAGAGAUGCAGUGUCCUUCGGGGCCCUACACAGAUGGUGCAUAAGCUGUCGUCAGCUCCCGUCGUGAGAUGUUGGGUUAAUACUGGCGGGGAGUGCAACCCUUAUCCUAUGUUUCCAGCGCGUCAUGGCGGGGACUCAUUGGAGACUGCCGCCGUCAACUCGGAGGAAGGUGGGGACGACCUCAAGUCAUCAUGCCCC